AGGCCUCCUGCGUGGGGCUUGCCCCGCCGUGCAGGCUGGUGCGAGCGCCUUGCGCCUGCAGGGCUUCUUGGGGUUGGAGCGUUUGGCGUUAGGAGCUUGCAGGUUGCUAACGUGUGCGUUUUGGGCUUUGCUGUGUUACCCCCUGAAGGAAGAAUGCCAGCUGCGGGACCAGAAGCGCAGGCCGUGCUACGUCCACGGGCACUGGUGGGAUGUGGCGAUUCUACACUGAGGACUCUCCGGGGCUCAAAGUGAUGGAGGGAGAAAGAGGAAAUGACAACAACCCAAUAGGGCCAAAGGGACUACAUAUCCUGUAGAAGGAACUGGUAUAUACUAAAGGCAAAAGGCUCUGCAAUGACUGUGACUGUGUGCGUGUCUCAGAGAGGUGUUGCAGAUAAUGCUGAGUCUGGUAGCCUUCCAGCCCUCCUCUUCCCACAUUCUUCUACCCUAAGAAGCUUGCCCUUCGUGGAUCUUUCUGGAACAGGCCUGAAGGACCUUUGCCGGUGA
rnacentral:lncRNA from 1 species